rnacentral:snRNA from 1 species
AGGAGUAUUUGCAAACCUAC